UUGACCUCGGAUCAGGUAGGGAUACCCGCUGAACUUAAGCAUAUCAAUAAGCGGAGGAAAAGAAACCAACCGGGAUUGCCUCAGUAACGGCGAGUGAAGCGGCAAGAGCUCAAAUUUGAAAGCUGGCCCCUUCGGGGUCCGCGUUGUAAUUUGCAGAGGAUGCUUUGGGUGCGGCCCCCGUCUAAGUGCCCUGGAACGGGCCGUCAGAGAGGGUGAGAAUCCCGUCUUGGGCGGGGUGUCCGUGCCCGUGUAAAGCUCCUUCGACGAGUCGAGUUGUUUGGGAAUGCAGCUCUAAAUGGGUGGUAAAUUUCAUCUAAAGCUAAAUACUGGCCGGAGACCGAUAGCGCACAAGUAGAGUGAUCGAAAGAUGAAAAGCACUUUGAAAAGAGAGUUAAACAGCACGUGAAAUUGUUGAAAGGGAAGCGCUUGCGACCAGACUCGCCCUCGGGGUUCAGCCGGCACUCGUGCCGGUGUACUUCCCCGGGGGCGGGCCAGCGUCAGCUUGGGCGGCCGGUCAAAGGCCUCCGGAAUGUAGUGCCCCCCGGGGCACCUUAUAGCCGGAGGUGCAAUGCGGCCAGCCUGGGCUGAGGAACGCGCUUCGGCACGGACGCUGGCAUAAUGGUCGCAAACGACC
rnacentral:rRNA from 1 species